GGUGGCAUUUCCCCCUCUGUGGGGCUGGGGACAGGAGGAGAAUCUCUGCUGCCACAGUAUGAGCAGCUCUCAGUGCUCCCUUCUGCUAACCCUGUCCUCUUUGUGGCUUGUGGUGGGCUGACCUUGACUGGCUGCAAGGUCUUCUCCUGACCCCAGAGGAAAUUUUUAUCUUGCAGUGUCUUGGGACACAGGUCUUCCCUCAGCAUGGCCUUUCCCUGCUGCCCUGAGAGUUAUAGAGACUGGGAUGUCACUGACUUCUCCUUUUGGGGCUUGCUUUGACCCCAUACAGGUCAGAGUCCCCUGUAGAAUAAAUGCUGCUCAGCAGGAAAAAGGGUAGCAGGAUCCAUCUCCUAAUGAGAACCCCCAGUAACAAGCCACAACUGUGUUUGGAGUGGGACUGGAGGCUUCAAAAUUCAGGCUGGAUUCAGCCUGCUCUGCCUCUCACUGCUCACAUACUGCUUUUUCCUGCCUGCAGUGAUCACAGGGAUGAGUGACACCAAACUGUGUCAGAUGGCUCUUAUGGAGGGCCAUCCUGUCCUGCUCUCCUGAGACACAGGAGAGUUUCACACUUUCCUGCUGGGAAACCAUGAGUUCAACCUUUGUGUUUCCCUGGACUUCACUCUGCUCAAGGAAGGUCAGGCUGGAGCCGUGGGUUCAGGGCAGGCAAGAUAAUGCACUUUAUCAUUGAUUUUCAGUGAGAAGUUGCAUUAUGAGAUUAAAUGACUCAUUUUUAUUGCAUGGGGAGGCAAAGAAAAAGCAGGAGCUCUGAAAAUAAAGCCUAAGUCCAAGUGCUGUGUUUGUGUGGGGAGGUGCUUGUGACUGGGAGCAAACCUUUUUUCCAAUCCUUUGGAGGUGAACUUUGAGACGCUGCUUCCUCUGAGGCUGGUAAACAAAGUCAAACCUCAUCUGUGUUUAAACCAGGGCCUAAUUAAUGUGUCUAAUUGGCCCACAUCUACUAAUUCCAGGCUGGCAGGGAGUUUAUUAAAAAGCUUUUCUAGUUCUAAUGGAUUGAAAUAAGCAAAGCUGCUUAGCAGUCUCAGAUGAAAAGCACCAAACAGGGACCAGUUGUGUGGGUCUGCUUGAGUCAAUCCCAAGUCCCACCAGGUGUCAGCCCCUUCCCUGGUUUCAGCUGCAAGGUGCUCCAGCUCUCUGAGGGUUUGGGGACCAUCCUGAUGCACUCUGCUUAUUUUGGUUAUUUUUAAACACCAAAUUGAUGUUUUUGUUUGCUGUAGUAAAAGCAUCGGCUAUUCUAGCUUUAAUGCCGUUAAUACUUAGAUUAUAGAUAGGCUGGCAAAGCCACAGGGUAUUUCUAAAGCAACAGAUUAGUCCAUUUCCAAAAAGUAUUAGGUGUCAGGGUGUGAAUAACAACCAUCUGCAGCUGCCCAGAUGAUGUCCUUAAGGUACAGCAGACUCCAGGCUCUGAGCUGGGCACAGGGAGUGACCCCUCCUCUCUGCCUGCAGGGCCAGGGCAAUGCCUUCCUCUGCAGGCACACAGCCCUGGCGGGCUCCAGGCUGGGUGUAGUGUUUGCUUCUGUCCCACACUGCACAAAUCAUCCUGUAAAACCUCCUCCUGCAUGCUGGAGCUGCCUCAGCUCUGUCCUUUGGCCAUGCUCAGAGUUACUGCAGGCUCAGGAACCUCACGGCUCUCCCUGGGCUCUGGGAAUUCCUGCUGCCUCCCUCCUGGGCUCUUUGUAGCUCAGAUGGCUGCAGGCGGUUUGCUCUGCAUUGUGAUGUGGAAAUUCAGCAAGGGAACUAAAGAAGCAUUGGAUAUAAAGUGGUUGGAAAUGCAGAUUGCCUCCACAUGGUCUCCCACCGUUGUGACUUCCAGGUUUCCAACCCCAGAGCAGGUGGACACAGCUCCACCUGUGACUGUCUCCAACCACCUUACCCUGUACCAGCCAUGCUAAAGCUCAUCAUGCCACCUCCUAAUACCCCAGAACUCAUUGGGAAACCUUUCCCAACUACCCUUCCCACCCAAAAUGGGUUCUAGGAGGGGACACACAGCCCCAUCCUCCCACCCCACUCCCCCCAGCAGCCUGAUCUGCCAUUGCUUGUACACAAAGCAGACCUGGGCUGGAAAUGCUGACAGUACUCUUGAGAGUUUAUGGUCACAAACUCUAUUUUCAGCCUAAUAAGUUUUUUAUAUGCUUGGAAAGCUGUCAGUUGAACAUUAGCCAGGCACAAAGUACCUGCCAUAAAGUGCCUGGCCCACAACCAAACGGGAAAGGUGCUGCUCUGCUUUAGCAAGUUCUUGAUCUUGGAUGCUUUAGUCGGAUCAUUUAUUUUGUUUGAAGAUCUUGGCUUUAAUUAUAAAAUAAUAAGAUAAAAUCAUAAUGCCUCUACGCAAAAAUCUGUGGAAAUAUUUGCUGAGAACCUGUUAAAUCAAAGCUGGGUUGGGAGUCUCUGUGGUGCUGCUGCCAGUGCCACAGUGGACUGGUUACUGCCAGGAGUCCCUGGAUCCCUGUGAUGAAGGAGAGAGGCUUUGGAGAAGGAUGCUGGAGGGGGAAAAAGGGUCUGGCAAGGAAUUACAAACACGUGAGGCUCUUUUGGAGGGUUCCCCGGUGACAGCUUUGCCCCAUCCUAGGAGGCAGCCCACGCCAUGGCAGCGUGGCUCUGCAGGGAUUGGAAAGGUCCUGGAGAGCUGCAGGGAUCCUGUGGGAUCCCACGUGUCCCGGCUGUGGCCCCUGGAGCUCUGCUUCCCGGGCAGACAGUUUACAGCAAAUGGCUCCUUUCAAUGCUAAAAAUAACCCGCUAGAAAACAAAGCUGACCCAGGACUUCAACCGGAGAAAAGUGCAUUUAUUAGUAAAACUCAAGAUGUCCUUUCCUGUUUUUCUCUGAAGAGCCGACGCUGAGAGGUUGAUUGAGCUUCCCAGCCAGGCACCGACUUAUUUCAAUGCAGGGUGUGAUUCCUCCAAGAUUCAUUUUUCUUCCUCUGCUAGCGAUGCUCCGUGGCUGGUCCCACACUCCAUUGGCCAGAGCAGCUCUGGGUUUGGGGCCACAAGCGAUUUCCCAGCCAAGGGAGCUGUAAAUGCCCUGUGAAAGUGUUCCUGCUGCCCAUGCCUGAGAGCACAGCAGGUUCCCAGUGGGGAAUGAACAGUACAAAAUGAAAUAUUUGUUUUCUCUUGCAGUGUAAGCACCGUGUUAGGGACUUGUUUCUUCCUCCACCUUAAAACUGCAGAUUUAACUAAGUCUUGUUUAUAUACAAAGAGUUUCCAGCUAUUUCUCUCCAGGCUUUUCUCUGGAAGGACUAACUGGGGAGAUAAGACCGAUCCUCUCUGAACUACAAAUGCAAAAACGUCCCUGUGUUUGCUUGGCCCAGCUGCUUGUCCCCUGCUCCAGCCUUGGCCCUUUCUUUCCAGCCAUGCUCAAGGGCUGUGUGGUGUCCCUGGGACACAGCAAACGGUGGCACAGGAAUCACAGCUCUUCCAGGCAUUGGGACACCAGAUCUGCCAUGAAUGUGUUAGAGGGAAUUAAAUUAACAGUAGGCUUUUUGGAGGCAGGCAAACCACCUGAGGUAAAUGGAAAAAUAAACCAGAAGCUUUUGUGUGAUGUGAAACAUUUAACUGACUUUGAGGUCCUUUGUGUAAGUGUCUCUUGAGGCAGGAGCUGAGGCGCUGAGCAGUGACAGGAGGUGAUGCUCUGGGUACCCCUUGGGCAUCUCCACAGAGACCAGGCACAGACUCAUGGCAUGGCCAUUUGGGGGUUUCUGGCUUGAGAACCACGUGUGAACAGCCCCCUUUAUAGAGGCAAUGAGAAGCUCCCCCAGGCUGGGAGUGGCAGGUGUGGCUGCAAGUCCAGUGCUCAUCCCUGUGCUACGCCUGUGGGAGAGGAUGUGUCCUGUGCUCCCAGGCUGAGUCUGCUGCUUUGUCCAUGAGCCACCCUCUGCUUUUACAUGCCCCACUGGAAAGGGAAAUAGAGCUUGUGAAGCCCCUCUGCCUCACUGUGCCCCUUGUGCUGCUGGUGUCUGCCCUGGGGCUCCCUGCCAGAGCUUUCCCCACAUCCCAGCUGUGGAAUAGUGGCUCCAGGGAUGGAUCUGUUGUUUCAGCUUUGCACACAGAAAGUUUCUUAGCUUCUUUCCUCCAACAGUACUGAGGAAGCUGUAGCAUCUCAUGAUGGGUAGUGCAGACUUGCUGGGGUCUUGGAUAUCCCCAGGCCCAUGGAUGAGCUGCAUCCCAAAGGAACUGCAUCCCCACCUCCUCUGGACUCUCAGCAUGGCACAGUGUGACUAGCACUACACACUUUCAAAGGGAGGUUUUUGCCUCCAAACCAAGUAACACUUCAUUCAGUGGCAAUGCCUGGCUCUUGGCACCCCCACCAGUGAACCUGUCCCUGAGCCCUCCUCCCUGCCAGCAGCUUCCCAUUGCCAUGGGUCUGUCUCCCCACUGCCUGGCUGGAGACACUGAGCUUCUGCAAGGUGGGCUGUGCUGGCAAGAGCAGACUGGAAGCCGUGGUGGGAAGUUUUCCCCAUGUCUGCUGAGCACAGAGGUGCACCCCUGCACCUCCACAUGUGAGCAAAGGCAGCCAGGACAGAGUUAAUCUGCCUGCUGUCCUUGGAUGUCCUGAGCACAGCACGGAAGCAGCCUCUCCAAGGAGGAGCUGUGGUGCCUUUGCCAAGCCUGGGAGCUCUCUGAUGCUCCUUAGGGUAAACUUUUUGCCCAUAAGCCCAAACAAGCAGAAGAAUUUCACGCUGCCUGGGCUUUGCGUUGGCAUGAAGGGCUCUUCAGGGUGCCAGAUCAGAUCUGAGUGUCUCCUGCUCAUGACAGAGCGGAGGUGUUGGGCAAAAUUCAAAUGAUAGCUUCCUCUCAGGAUGCUGAGGAGGCAGCACAGGUCGUGGUGCGCUGAUCAUCUCCCGGUGGUUUCACACUGCCCCGCUCCUCGAGCAGCGAUCCGGGGCAGGGAGCUCUUGCUGAGGGGAGGGGAUAUUUAAAGGAACGGCGUAAAAAAUGGCACAACUCUUUUAAAGCUGGUCUCGGCGGUGCCCGCGGGGUGCAGCCGCAGCCGCUCGGCAGCGCACACACGAAUAAACGCGCGCCGGGCUGGGAGCGGCUCGGGCGCUCCCCGCUCUCCCUGAUGCUGCCCGGCAUCACCUAUUUAUAACUGCAGGCACCGCAGGAGCACUGCUGGCCUGAUGGCUCCACACAGGCACGCUAAGUGUUGUGCUAUUUCUGUGAUUUGCUCUCUUCUGCGCAAGCUGUUGGUCUCUCGGAUGCCAAAGCACUAUAUGUAGUAUAGACAAAGACUCAGCUUUUUCUCUUUUAUUAAAAUAUUCACCAACAGCACCGCAGGGGCAGGUAUAUUUACCAUUUUUCCCAGUUCACCUGGAUAAUUGCAUCUACUAUUCCUUCCCAGUCUGAUCGAUAUCCUUGGUAAAUAAGAUAACCUGUCAGGUCUGUUGUUACUGCAGCCAAAGGUACUUUAGCAAUGAAAUUGUUUUGCUGAGGAAAUAAAUGGCUCUCACAGAAUCUGAGGAUGCUGUGACCUUUCAUUAGUGACCCAAGUGAUUCAUCCCUUUUUGUGUGCACACUGCAGCCUCCCACCAUGCUGUAAAAGAUGCUCCACCAAAGUCCCACUGCUGGGUGCUUGGAGCAGUGGGGAGCCCAGUCCUGCAGGAGCCUCCUGCUCUGGCUGCUUCUCCUCCAGCUUCACACACUGCCUGGGCCUGAGGGCUCUCACCUUAUGGCCGUGGCCUGUUUGUCCCACAGGCUCCCGUGCACCAUCUCAGUGCCCCAGUGAUGUCCCCAGCACGCCCAGCCCCUGUGUGCAGCUGCUCCUGCUCUCCCGGGCUGUGGGAGUCUCUGACACAAAGGCAUGAGCCCAUGCUCUCAGCACAGGGCAGCCAACCCACACUUGUUUAGCAAUCAGGGCUCCACUGGCCAUACCAGCACCCCUGAACUGAGUCAGAGACAGAUUUUAGCUAACGUGUGCAAAAUGAAAUAAAGAAUUAAUCAUAGUUGAGUUCUAUGCAUUUAGAUGUUGCUGAUAGCAAUAUUUUCUUCUUGUAGAGUGUUUUGCAUGAAAAAAAAAAAAAAAA
ensembl:lncRNA